rnacentral:rRNA from 1 species
CCUACGGGAGGCAGCAGUGGGGAAUUUUGGACAAUGGGCGCAAGCCUGAUCCAGCCAUGCCGCGUGUGGGAAGAAGGCCUUCGGGUUGUAAACCACUUUUGUCAGGGAAGAAACGGCUUUUUCUAAUACAGAGAGCUAAUGACGGUACCUGAAGAAUAAGCACCGGCUAACUACGUGCCAGCAGCCGCGGUAAUACGUAGGGUGCAAGCGUUAAUCGGAAUUACUGGGCGUAAAGCGUGCGCAGGCGGCUUUGCAAGACAGAUGUGAAAUCCCCGGGCUCAACCUGGGAACUGCAUUUGUGACUGCAUGGCUAGAGUACGGUAGAGGGGGAUGGAAUUCCGCGUGUAGCAGUGAAAUGCGUAGAUAUGCGGAGGAAUACCGAUGGCGAAGGCAAUCCCCUGGACCUGUACUGACGCUCAUGCACGAAAGCGUGGGGAGCAAACAGGAUUAGAUACCCUGGUAGUCCACGCCCUAAACGAUGUCAACUGGUUGUUGGACGGCUUGCUGUUCAGUAACGAAGCUAACGCGUGAAGUUGACCGCCUGGGGAGUACGGCCGCAAGGUUGAAACUCGAAAUGAAUUGACGGCUGAGACCGNGCGAGGACGACGACGAGGGAGGAGG